UCGACGAUCGGGCAUCUACGUGAAAUGACUCGAUUAACUCGGGCCUGUUCACACAGGUAUUUAACAUGUUCACACAAAUAGCAUUAAAAUUCAGUUCAUGCUUGAAGCUGGUACAUGAAUUGGCCGAACCAUCAUGAUGCUUCACUUGAUGCAUUCAUGCAUCCUUAGCCUUGAGGAAUCUCCAUAAUUCCAUGAAUGUGCAGCUCUUUAAUGAUCCUACAUCUCC
rnacentral:lncRNA from 1 species